CAUACAGCUCAGUAACACGUGGCUAAUCUGCCCUUGGGACCGGAACACCCCCGGGAAACUGGGGCUAAUUCUCGAUAGGUGAAGAACUCUGGAAUGAGUCUUCGCUUAAAAGACGUUUGCGUUAUGCUCGUAGGCGUCGCCCAAGGAUGAGGCCGCGACCGAUCAGGUUGUUGGUGAGGUAAUGGCUCACCAAGCCUUUUACCGGUGCGGGCCGUGAGAGCGGGAGCCCGGAGAUGGGCACUGAGACAAGGGCCCAGGCCCUACGGGGCGCAGCAGUCGCGAAAACUUUGCAAUACACGAAAGUGUGACAGGGCUAUCCCGAGUGCCAUCCGCUGAGGAAGGCUUUUACCCAGUCUAGAACGCUGGGGGAAUAAGGAGAGGGCAAGUCUGGUGUCAGCCGCCGCGGUAAUACCAGCUCUCCGAGUGGUGUGGAUGUUUAUUGGGCCUAAAGCAUCCGUAGCUGGCUAAGUUAGUCCCUUGUUAAAUCCACCGAAUUAAUCGUUGGAUUGCGGGGGAUACUGCUUGGCUAGGGGACGAGAGAGGCAGACGGUAUUUCCGGGGUAGGGGUGAAAUCCUAUAAUCCCGGGAAGACCACCAGUGGCGAAGGCUGUCUGCUAGAACGCGCCCGACGGUGAGGGAUGAAAGCUGGGGGAGCGAACC
rnacentral:rRNA from 1 species